UGGGGAAUAUUGCGCAAUGGGGGAAACCCUGACGCAGCGACGUCGUGUGGGGGAUGAAGGUCCUAGGAUUGUAAACUUCUGUCUAGAGGGAAGAAGCUCUGACGGUACCUCUAAAGAAAGCACCGGCUAACUCCGUGCCAGCAGCCGCGGUAAUACGGAGGGUGCAAACGUUAUUCGGAAUUACUAGGUGUAAAGGGCGUGUAGGCGGUUUAAUAAGUUAGAUGUGAAAUCUCAUAGCUCAACUGUGAGGCUGCAUCUAAAACUGCUAGACUUGAGUAUGGGAGGGGAAAACGGAAUUUCUGGUGUAGCGGUGGAAUGCGUAGAUACCAGAAGGAAUAUCGAUGGCGAAAGCGGUUUUCUGGCCCAAUACUGACGCUAAGGCGCGAAAGCUAGGGGAGCAAACAGG
rnacentral:rRNA from 1 species